GAUCCUAGCUCAGAACGAACGCUGGCGGCAGGCUUAACACAUGCAAGUUGAACGGGAUUUGUGUGGUGCUUGCACCAUAUAAUGAGAGUAGCGCACUGGUGAGUAACACGUGGGAACGUGCCUUUUAGUGGGGGAUAACAUCUGGAAACGGAUGCUAAUACCGCAUACGCCCUGAGGGGGAAAGAUUUAUUGCUAAGAGGUCGGCCCGCGGUAGAUUAGGCAGUUGGUGGGGUAAAGGCCUACCAAACCUACGAU
rnacentral:rRNA from 1 species